UGGAAUAAUAUGGUCUGGCUCUUUGUCCCCACCCAAAUCUCAUCUCAGAUUGUAAUCCCCCAUGCGUCAGGAUUGGGACCUGGUGGGAGGUGAUUGGAUCAUGGGGAUGGUUUCCCUCAUGCUGUUCUCGUGAUAGUGAGUGAGUUCUCACGAGAACUGAUGAUUUUAAAAGUGUUUGGCAGUUCCCCCUUUGUACUCUCUCUCUCUCUCUUUCUCUCUCCAGCUGUCAUGUAAGACAUGCUGCCUUGCUUCCCCUUCACCUUCCACCAUGAUUCUAAGUUUCCUGAGGUCUCUCCAGCCAUGCAGAACUUUUCAAACCCCUGGAAUCAUCUGAUUGGUUCGCUUAAAAGUCCACCUUCGUCCAAUUGGUUUUCUCAAAGAGGACAGAUUUGCACAUGGCAAACGUGACUCAUGAACAAAUUCUCUAUGUGUCCCCAUGAAUGAAAGGCCAGUUGCUAGAGAAAGAAAAUCAUAUAUUGGGCAGAUGCCUAAAAGUUGUUACCUGAUGACUGUGAGAGAGAGGAGAAGCAGUAAACUUUUAGUGGAAAAUGAAUAAAUAAAAGGACAUCAGGACGAGAUGCAAAGGAAAGAUGAGAAGAUGAUGACUUUGAAUCAGAAUGGCAGAGAGAUUUGAAGUCAACAAUCACAGAAGAAUCAUCCAUAAUUUAGUGGGUAAUCUCUCUACUCUUGGUCUCAAGUGGACAUUGAUGAGUGAGUUCUCACAAGAUCUGAUGGUUUUACAAGGGGCUUCCCCCUUUGCUCGGCUCUUCUCCUUCCUGCCACCAUGUGAACAAGGAAACAUUUGCUUCUGCCUUCAACAUGAUUGUAAGUUUCCUGAUGCCUCCACAGCCAUGUGGAACGAUGACUCAAAACUGAGGCUAAUUAUCAGAAUAACCACAGGAGAUUUUAAAUACACAGAUGUCUGAGCCUCAUUCCUGAAGCUGGGUUCAGCACACAGAAGCACAGAAACUUUGGAGUUAGACUGGCUUGGAGUCUAAUCCAAGUUCUAUCAUCUACUAUCUGUGCGACUUUGAGUAGCUAUGUCUGCUUCUGAUCCAAAAAUCAUGUAUUUCACAUAACCACAGAAUUUUUGCAAACAAUAAAGAAUAUACAAGACAAGCACUUGGCAAAUGACUAUUUCUUCAUCUCUCUUUGCUAGUAGCUAUAGUUU
rnacentral:lncRNA from 10 species